UACGUAGGGUGCAAGCGUUAAUCGGAAUUACUGGGCGUAAAGCGUGCGCAGGCGGUGUUGUAAGACAGGUGUGAAAUCCCCGGGCUUAACCUGGGAACUGCAUUUGUGACUGCAUCGCUGGAGUGCGGCAGAGGGGGAUGGAAUUCCGCGUGUAGCAGUGAAAUGCGUAGAUAUGCGGAGGAACACCGAUGGCGAAGGCAAUCCCCUGGGCCUGCACUGACGCUCAUGCACGAAAGCGUGGGGAGCAAACAGG
rnacentral:rRNA from 1 species